GUGUACGGGCAUACCACCCUGAAUCCGCCGGAUCUCGUCUGAUCUCCAAAGCUAAGCAGCGUGGGGCCUGGUUAGUACUUGGCUGGGAGACUGCCUGGGAAUACCGGGUGCUGUAGGCU
rnacentral:rRNA from 1 species